GUGCUCAUUUUGGCAGCACAUAUACUAAAAAUUGGAGUAUAAAGAGAAGAUUAGCAUGGCCUCUGUCCAAGGAUGACAUGCAAAUUCGUGAAACAUUCCAUAUUUUU
ensembl:snRNA U6 U6 spliceosomal RNA